AUGCCUACGGGAGGCAGCAGUGAGGAAUAUUGGUCAAUGGGCUUACGCCUGAACCAGCCAAGUCGCGUGAGGGAAGACUGCCCUAUGGGUUGUAAACCUCUUUUGCCGGGGGACAAACGGCGGCACGCGUGCCGUCCUGAGGGUACCCGGAGAAAAAGCAUCGGCUAACUCCGUGCCAGCAGCCGCGGUAAUACGGAGGAUGCGAGCGUUAUCCGGAUUUAUUGGGUUUAAAGGGUGCGUAGGCGGGAUGCCAAGUCAGCGGUCAAAUACGGGGGCUCAACCUGCGUCCGCCGUUGAAACUGGCG
rnacentral:rRNA from 1 species